rnacentral:lncRNA from 1 species
GCUUUGUUUCCUUAAUUAAAGAAAUGUGAUUCUCUUUUCCAGUUAAAAAAAAAAAAAACACCCAUUGCACAUUUCUUGAAAAAUAGCAAAAGCAUAAUGAUUGGGUGAAUUCUACCCCACAUAAGAGCUCCAUCAGCUUGUGGUCAUCAGCUGCUCUAGACUAGAAUUAGUUUCUCUUGUGAGUUCUCUUAGUCCUUAGGUCUUUGUGAGACUUGACUUCUGUUUUCCCAGAAACACUGGGAAAACAUCAAGCUUGCAUAGCCUGCAGUUUAGCACAGUUCUGAAUAUACCGGUUCCUAUUGUAUCAGUAUAUUUGCAUAUCCCUGAAAACCUUCACUCA